AGUAUCAGGAUAAUCAGGACUCAACAGGUU
rnacentral:piRNA from 1 species